AAUUAGCGCGUCAUUGUCGGUGACUGCUGCGCGCUGGCGCUAAACUGAAUUCAUUGUAAGAGUUCACAUAACGGUCCUCAGGUCGCACGUUACGUUUUCCGGGCAGUUGCAUUUUCUGUUGUUUACCGUUUCCGUGUUGAUCUGCAGUAUUCUUCUGUUGUUUCCCUCUAUUAUAUUCGUUGUUAUAUUCGUUGUUCUCCUUAGUUAUAGCCGUUGUCACAAGCAUUAAACGACAACGGCUAUAACUACAAGCUCCGCUACGAAAAACCACAAGCAGCAACCGGAAGAAGAAACAGAGCGCGCAAUAUCAUUUGGUACAACCCA